AGCAGCCGCGGUAAUUCCAGCUCCAAUAGCGUAUAUUAAAGUUGUUGCAGUUAAAAGCUCGUAGUUGAAUUUCGGGAUCAAUUUAUUGGUCGUGCAAUAGUACGUACUGGUAUUAUUGGUUCCUACCUUCUGAUGAACCAUGAUGUCAUUAAUUUGGUGUUAUGGGGAAUCAGGACUGUUACUUUGAAAAAUUGAGUGUUUAAAGCAGGCUCACGCUUGAAUACAUUAGCAUGGAAUAAUGAAAUAGGACGUUUGAUUUCUAUUUUGUUGGUUUCUAGGAUCGACGUAAUGAUUAAUAGGGAUAGUUGGGGGCAUUAGUAUUCAAUUGUCAGAGGUGAAAUUCUUGGAUUUUAUUGAAGACUAACUACUGCGAAAGCAUUUGCCAAGGAUGUUUUCAUUAA
rnacentral:misc_RNA from 1 species